CACCAAUCAGGGAUAAGAUAGGAGUCAUGUAACAGUUUCAGUUUCCUCAGGCUUCCUUUUCGAUCCCACAUGGACAUUUUCCAGUCGGUGCUGCUAUCUCUCCUGAAGUUACAGCAGAAAAUCUAAUUCUGAGGUCAGAAAGUUUGCCUAUCAACUUGCGGUGGAAUUUAACUUAAAGCAUCCACAAACCUGGGAUGAGAAGAAUAUGGCAGGGCCUGAUUGGUUCAGCUCGUUCAUGAAGCGGAACCCUAGACUUUCACUGAGGAGUCUACAGGCAACUAGCCUUUCAAGGGCCACCAGUUUCAAUCGCACUAAUGUUGCACUCUUCUUCGAUCGACUGGGGGAGCAGCCAAUGGUGGUUGAUAGGGACAGAGAUGAGGAUGUUAAAGUUUGAAUCUGCAUCCAUCCUUCUUUGCUAUGUUGUGGAAAGUCAAAGUAACAUUGUCUGAAGUGAGGGGUGAACAUUAAAUCAGUGAUCAACAUUGGACCAGGUUUACAUUGUACCAUGCAGAACUUCUCAGCCUUGAUCUCUAACAUGAAAGAGCUGUGGGUCAUCGUUACGCUGUUUUGGGCAGCUGUACUCAUGCAGUGCUUUCCAGCCACAGCCAUUCAAGGUGGAAACAGCUCUGCAUGUCUGUUUUUCUGCAUGGACCCAGGAUGUGCCAAUAGCGUGACUGCCAUAUUUUGCAACGAUGAGUUGGUGUCAUUUGACAACAUCGCAGAUUGUAGUCCUGCAGGACCUCCACUGUCCAAUACUGUCUGCCAACAUGAUGGUCGGGCAUUUGUUUCUCUCUAUACAAGCGGUCGAUGUGAUUUUGAAGUGAAAAGCAGUCCUAUGAAGACUGGAAAAUGCAAAGACCACAGCCACAUUUGCGCUUUUUUUAAUGAAAAGAGAGAGACUACACCCUCACCAGUCCCCACAGAGGGUCCGCAAAAUGGUCAUGCAAAACCUGGACACAUUAUCGCUGGAGUUAGUGGUUCAGCACUACUACGAAUUGCAUGUCUGAUUGCAUAUUGCUUAUAUGUCUAAGCAAGAGAGGAAUAAUCAACACAUUUCACAUAGGGCUGAACGAUUAAUUGCAUUUGCGAUAAUAUCGCAAUAUGACAAAACAAGAUUUUCCAACCGCAAAGGCUGCGAUUUGACUGGUCACGUGAUCUGGUCACAGGACUUGCGAGCGAGUCGAGCGAAGUCGAGCAGGCAGGGAAAGAGGUCAACGCUGCGCUUGAACCUGUUGCACAAUGGCCUCAGGCUCGUCAGAAGAGUGCACGGCUGGAAGUUUGGUACCAAAGAGGGGCGGCACGUCAGUUGUGUGGAAUUAUUUUGGCUUUAAAAAGGAAGAUGCUGCGCAACGUCAGGUAUUGUGCAGAACGUGCCUCGCUACUGUUGCUACCUCACGAGGUUCACAAUUGUAAUCACGAUUGAUUUAUUGCUUGUGUUUGUUGAAAAAUACAUGAGAAGAGGACCUUGAAAAAAUAAUCGCAUAUUAAAUCGCAAUUGUAAUAUUGAGGAAAAAAAAUCACAAUUAGAUUCUUUUCCUAAAUCGUUCAGCCCUAGUGUCUUGUGGAUGUCUAUGUACUGUCUUAUGUAUUGUCUAUAUAUGCUUAAAAACAAUUUAAAAAACUGUGUUAAAAAAAAGAAAAGAAAUUGUGUGUGUGUGUGGAAGGGGACUAGAUGUGAAGUGUCAUGAACAUGACAAUGAACAGAGUUGUGCUUUUCUAUGUCAGGGCCCUAUGCUGCAUUGCAUUUGCAAAAGAUCAAAUUGCCCAAAAGUCUGUCAGUCAUUUGUGCACGAUGGGGACGUAGUAUGAUGCCAGCAUGGCUGAAAACUCGCUCCACUGGAGCACUAGAGGCAGGCACUGCCAAGACUCUGGUGGCCACUCGGAAGAGUGAAGGAAGAGACUUCAUGUUCAGUGCCCAGAACAAAACGGCGUUCUGUCCUUCGGCUUUGUCUAGGUAGUGACUUAGCUGUAGUGCUGGAGUGGUCCCAACAUCCUUCUUCUGCCUCUUAUGGUAUGCAGCAAACAGCCCUUCUCCUUGUCCAAGGUCCUCUUGCUCUUCUUCAUCAACCAGAGGCACAGGUUGCUCAGUCUCUGUAGACUCUUGCAGGAUCAUUUCUGGAAAAGCAUUUAACAGCAGCAGAAACAAAAGAGCCCUUAUUACCAUUGGUGUUGGUGAUACAGUGUUAGACUGAAAAAUGCAACUAUUGAUGCUGUCAAUAAGAUCAGACUAUGAGAAAAAAAGCUGCAUUGAAGUCAAUAACAUUUACCUUUAACUUGUUGUGCCACCUCUGAUGUCACGAUUGACCAGUACAUGGUGCUCCACCCACAGCAGAGAAAAGGCUGGAUCCAAGGCGACUGCUUUGAGGUAGACUGGGUCUGAAAAGGGCGCAGUGAUCCCAUCUUGAGUCCCGGCCAUUUUCACGUUAAUGAAGAUCCCAAGAAAUCUUUUGUUCAGGGACGCCUGGAGACUUCUGACCAGGUCGCUCAGGAAACAAAGUUGAGGCUUCAACUUCUCAAGGUGAUGAUUGAGGGACAAGACGGAUGGAACAACUGCACUGAUUGUGACGACCUUCUCUCCCUGUGUCAAAUCAGUUGCUUCUCCAAACGGCUUCAAGAUGUCCACCAACUCCUUCAACAGAUUCCAGUCUCGUGGUGUGAAUCACAGCUCCUUAUGCCCAGCCUUUUCUAGAAUGGCAAAAAGCUUUAGAUUAUCACACUGGAGAACUGCCUUUACUUGCCUCAGUGUUGAGUUCCAUCUUGUGUGGACUGCAGCAGGGAUGCCUUUCUGUUCCCCAAAUUCACUAUCAAACACAUCUUUGAAUGUUGUGCUUGUGUGCAGCAAUGAGCUACAUUUUGAUGACUUGGAAAGAGAAGGACAUGCCACUUCGUUUCUUUCAAACCGUCUCCCACCACCAGCUGAAGAGUAUGCGCAAAACACUGCAGGCGCUGUUUCUUUGCCAUAGCAGCAUCUACCGUUUGCUGUUCUUCCAGGGUUAAGUCACACCAGAGAUCAGGGUCAUCAAGAUGAUCUCCGUCAUCAUCCUCUUGUUCACUGAGGAAGCACACAGUGAAUGCUUUUUGCAUUUUAGCAGCAUUGUCACUAAUAAUGUAGUCCAAUUUAUCUUUGUUGUAUUCAUCGCAUAUUGACUCAAAUUGGUCACAGAUUCGUUCAGCUGUGUGUGAGCCUUUGAAGCAAUUGCAGGCCAAGAGAUUUGGUAUUUAGCUGUAUCCUCUCUUUAGCUGUCUCUUUCUCUAUCCAGUGGACAGUGACACCAAGGAAUCCCCACAUCUUUCGGUCAGACCAAAUGUCCACAGUGACUGAAAUAUGCUCAGUGUUGCUCAAUUGAGUUUUUAAUCUUGAACGUCUCUCCCCAGCGAAGCUCUCUGUUUUUGAUGUCAACGUUCUGCGACACACUGGGCUGCACUUACUGUCAAUUACUGUCAGAAAGUGCAGAAAACUCUUGUGUUCCACAAUAGACGGGAAGGUUGCAAUCAAUAAUCAAGUCGAACAGUGUUGCGUUACUGAUAGCCUUCUGCCGUGGAUGACUCAUGCUGUAAUGUGCUACACGACUGUCCAAGAAUUGUGAGAUUGAAGGCUGUUGUGGUUCAUCUAUGAUGCUUCUACUCAUCUGGUAUUAUUCAAAUCUGUAACAGGUAAGCAUAUAAAACAGAUGUCAGAAAGUCCCUUACAGCCACACAUAAAUUGCAUUUGAAUCUAUCUCCUCAUAUAUCAAUGCUAACAUUGUGUUAAUAUUUAUUUUUGUAUUAUUAUGAAUUGUAUUGUAUACUGUAUGAUUGUGUUUGUUUUAACAUUACAUUUCCAUUGUCAGUGCACACUUACUAUAUUAAUUUAUAUUUUUCCUGCUUUACCUUGCCAUCAAGCAGCCUUUUCCGACAGGAAACUGAAGUAUGCUUGUUAAUUCACUCUCUCCAGCACACCUGAUUCCAUUGGCAAAAACAGCAAUUUUACCUGCAUCACACAGAAACUGCUGGUCUACUGCUGGCUGAAUGAUUAAGUUUAAUUGCUAUUCUAUGCAAGUCUUUUUAGAUUUUGUCAAGUCUAAAGUCGUCAAAUUCAUGACUCGAGUCCAAGUCAUGUGACUCGAGUCCACAACUCUGCCGAGUACUAAGGUGCUAGGAACCAGUUGUCAUAAGAAGUGCGAGGAAACCUAUUGUUUUUGUGCAGAUUAUUAUUAUUUGUAUUAUUGUUCUUGUUAUUGUUAUUAUUUGUCGAACUACAGUAUCUUUCAGAAUGUUCAACUCACCAAAUGAUGCUAGUACUGUAUUACAGUCCUUACAGGGCAUUAUGAAUGUAUGUGUAAAAUAACUUUUUAACUUUUUCACAAUUGAAUAAAUGUUUUGUAUACUUCCAUGUCAUUCCAAAUGUAAAUCAAUAAAUACUGGGGCUACAUUUUGAGGAAGCGACAUUUGUGUAUGAAAUCAUUUUGCUAAA